CGCGGCCUAUCAGCUUGUUGGUGGGGUAAUGGCCUACCAAGGCGACGACGGGUAGCCGGCCUGAGAGGGCGACCGGCCACGCUGGGACUGAGACACGGCCCAGACUCCUACGGGAGGCAGCAGUGGGGAAUAUUGCACAAUGGGCGAAAGCCUGAUGCAGCGACGCCGCGUGAGGGAUGACGGCCUUCGGGUUGUAAACCUCUUUCACCAGGGACGAAGCUAACGUGACGGUACCUGGAGAAGAAGCACCGGCUGACUACGUGCCAGCAGCCGCGGUAAUACGUAGGGUGCGAGCGUUGUCCGGAAUUAUUGGGCGUAAAGAGCUUGUAGGCGGUUUGUCGCGUCUGCUGUGAAAGACCGGGGCUUAACUCCGGUUCUGCAGUGGGUACGGGCAGACUAGAGUAUGGUAGGGGAGACUGGAAUUCCUGGUGUAGCGGUGAAAUGCGCAGAUAUCAGGAGGAACACCGAUGGCGAAGGCAGGUCUCUGGGCCAUUACUGACGCUGAGAAGCGAAAGCAUGGGGAGCGAACAGGAUUAGAUACCCUGGUAGUCCAUGCCGUAAACGUUGGGCGCUAGGUGUGGGGCUCAUUCCACGAGUUCCGUGCCGCAGCUAACGCAUUAAGCGCCCCGCCUGGGGAGUACGG
rnacentral:rRNA from 1 species